rnacentral:rRNA from 1 species
GACGGAAGGUGCAAGCGUUGCUCGGAAUCACUGGGCGUAAAGGGUGCGUAGGCGGCUUCUUAAGUCUGGUGUGAAAGCCCAGGGCUUAGCUCUGGAAGUGCACUAGAAACUGGGAAGCUUGAGUACCGGAGGGGAGAGUGGAAUUCCUGGUGUAGCGGUGAAAUGCGUAGAUAUCGAGAGGAACACCUGCGGCGAAGGCGGGUUGCUGGGCUGACACUGACGCUGGAAGCGCGAAAGCUAGGGGAGCGAACGGG